UGGGAGACAAAGUGCUUGAGUUUUCGCCACUGACCUCCACUUGUCUGUCUCUUCAGCAUUAACCCGAACCCUUCACUUUUCCACCUCUCUUUUCUUCCAGGGGAAUCAUAAACGGUCUCAGCUAAAUAAACAAGCCCUCAUUAAUGCGCUGCUCUCAUUUACAGAAGACAAAAUGACCUGCCAGACUUGAUUUGUACAGCAUUGGAUUUUUUGUUGAUCAUCAAGAAGAAUUCUAAGGGAAAAGCAGGACUCCAAAGACUCUGUAUGAUUAAAAAAUUAAAACAUGUCAAGGCCUUUUCACCUUUUAAAUCAUUUUCUAUUACCAAAUAUGUUUUCAGAAUUUUAUGGCCCACACUUGGAGAUAUACUGUAGCUGGUGUCCAGAGGGGUACACUUAUGACUGAUGCUGCUGCUAAGCUGUGAGUUGUUCUUUGAUUUGUAUCAGGAAGACGUUUCUGUUCCAAAAGAGUGUUUCUGAAGAGCCAGCAUGGGGACUGAAGAGCUGCUGUGCAGUCUCCUGGGAGUGAGAGAAAAACAAUCUGCACAUUUACAGAGUGCACUGCAUGCCAAACAUUUCCCAACCAGUUCAGCUUGUGAGCAUCCCCGCCUCAUGGAUCCACCAUUUCAUCUGCACAGGCUGUGCUUUUCAGCCCAGCUCUCACUGUCUGUGCCAGUCUGCGGAGCUGCAGCUCUCACAGUUUGCGCCCGUCUUCGCAGCUGCAGCUCUCACCGUCUGCGUCCGUCUGCGCAGCUGCAACUCUCACCGUCUGCGUCCGUCUGCGCAGCUGCAGAUCUCAACACCUGCGUCCGUCUGCGCAGCUGCAACUCUCACCAUCUGCGCCCGUAUGCGCAGCUGCAACUCUCACCAUCUGCGCCCGUAUGCGCAGCACAGCUGUGUCUUCAUACAGAUGUUUUUGGACUUCACGGCAGCGAGUUACCAGGAAACAUGAGAAGACCCUGCCUUUCCCCAGGAGACACUGGGUUAUGAGUCUCCAGCAGGCUCCCGCUCGGUGACAGAAAGGCGGCUGGACUGUUUAAGGGCAGAUGAGGCCGGGAUGUGCUGCGAUGAGCAGACAGAGUGUCCUGCCCGGGAUCCAGCGGAAUGAACAGAAUGAGGAAUGAUAGAUUUGUGUGGGAGAGAAGCAGGAAAAGCAGGCCGUCCCUUCAUCCUGUUGUUUUUGGAGGAAUACCGGGUGUGCCUCUGGUGCGUAGCAGAACCCAAAAGCGAAGAAGCACGCACCGUCGGAUGUGAGCCAGCUCCGGGCUCUUUCAGUGACCCCAGAGCACGAGCGCUCCAGGAUCUGAGGACACAACGGAUAGCCAAGCUCACUCAACGGGCCCCACGUGUGAAAGCGCCUCACUCAGCAAAUUAAACACUGAGUUCUUUUUCUCUGUUCUUCUUUUUCCCUCCAAACUUCUGCCACCGCAGGCCGCCACUUUCGGCUCGGCUAAUCGCUGCUUUAUCAGAGGGAGAGAGGCGUGUCCAUAUUAAUUAGACACACAAAACUCUCCUGCCGUGAGCCUCUGCAUGCAGUCAGACCCCCAGGGAAGACGGAAGGGCUUAUUUUAGGCCUAAUGACCAGGAGGAAAUCAAGGAAAAAUACAGAGGAAUGAAGUCAUUCUGACCUUUUAACAAAUCCAGCAUGUGGCCGCGGUGGAGAGCGAGCGGUGAUCCGCUGCACUCCCUCCCUGGUGGUCCCAGAGCAUCCGCACUGGCGCACGGCAGGGCCGGGGAAACAGAGAAAGUGAGCGCAGGACAGAUACCAUGUUUCCAUCUUUCUGCUUCCUGUCUGCACCACUUCACCUGCUCUCUGCUUCCUGCUUCCUGUCUCCACCACUUCACCUGCUCUCUGCUUCCUGCUUCCUGUCUCCACCACUUCACCUGCUCUCUGCUUCCUGUCUCCACCACUUCAUCUCUCUGCUUCCUGCCUGCACCACUUCACCUGCUCUCUGCUUCCUGUCUGCACUACUUCACCUGCUCUCUGCUUCCUGUCUCCACCACUUCACCUGAUCUCUGCUUCCUGUCUUCACCACUUCACCUGCUCUCCUCCUCCGCUCUUCUCCUCUCCUCUCUGCUCUGAUUCUCUGCAGGAUGUGGAAGAGCCUGCUGCACUGACCUGCUCAUGGGUUAGGUGAGGAGUGUUAUAUCCUCCUGCAGAGCUGGCAGGACUUGCUUUAUCCUCUACCUGUACCUGUGCUCAGCUGGGGGGGAGUCACAUGUAGCUCUUAUUACUGGAGGAAAUGGGGAAACAGUCUAUGUGCCCCCCCCCCAAAUCCCCCCCCCCAGGUUUCCGUGUUGAAUGAGCAGCAGAAGAUUUAUGCCUGAGUGCCACAGAACAGCUUUGGCUGGAUUUGGAGCCGUUUACCGUGUCAGAGGGGCUGAAGCCUGCGGUCUGAUGGAUAAGCCUGAGUAGAAGGGAAGUCUACAGUUACAGGAGCUGUUGCAUAUUUUAUAUUUUAUUUAGCAUCACAUGCCGUAUUUGGCCCCGUGGGGACUCUGGUUCAGGUAGCCGAACCCCCACAUGGAAGAAGAGGGGGGGAUAACAGGCUGGUUUCCUCUCUUCCUCUUCCUCUGCCCCAGAUGUGCUUAUGAAGCUCUGCUAAUAAACAGACACACAGGCUGACUCUGUGCUGUGACUGCUCAGACUGUAAUGUAGGGAUCAUUGUACUGAGCGUGCCCGUGUCUAAGUGUGCUGGAGUUAUUCAAUCAAACACAGUCUGAUGUUUAUAUUUUACUGUGAUUUUCAGUAGCUACCUUAUAUAAACAUUGGCAGCCACACUGGUUGCUCUGCUGCUCAUUUAUGAGUCUGUAUGUCCGUCUGUGUCUGUCUGUCAGUCAGUUGGUAUGUUUGUCUGUCUGUCUGUCGAUCAGUCUGUAUGUCCAUCUGUGUAUCUGUCUGUCUGUCUGUCUGUAUGUCCAUCUGUGUGUCUGUCUGUCUGUCUGUCUAUUGGUCAUUCUGUUUGUCUAUCUGUGUCAGUCAGUCGGAUGUCUGCUGCCUCAGUGAGGCACACUGAUGUGACAGGGGGAAAUGUGAACAUUAAAUGAGACAUUUUAUUGGCCUUUUUUAGGAGCUGGUUUCCUUUGGGGAGCAGCAAUAACAGAAACCUCUCCAAAUUCGGAAAAUAUUUUUCAACAUCUGCCACAAAACCCAAAUUGGAGUAAUGGUUUGAGUUUAAAUUGAUUUCUAAAAAUGAUGCUCCAUUAGAGGUUGAAAAUCUUGGGGGAUUUAUUAUGAUUGAAUCUGAGAAAAAAAUCCAUUUCAGGGGGAUUGGAGGAGAGAGAAUUGAGGCUGGCCCUUAUUGGGUCAGACGUGUUUAACUGUACUGUUCAUUUAGGAAAGCUGUAUAUUGAUUCAUUGGGAAAGACGAGGCUGAAAGUUGAAAGUGAUUAUUCUUCUCAAGGUGAACUCGUUAAAGCCGUUUAUUGCACUGACAUGAUGAAGGAGGAGCGGAUUAAUUUUCCAGAUGUAUGUGAUGUGAUGUGCGGUGAGAAUGUGGCAGUGUGUUCGCUCAGGUGGACCAGGCCAGUGUUCAGGUGGGGAACACCUGGAGUUCAGGUGUUCCUCAGCCUCCUUGCUCCUGGUGGCACUUACACAGGCCUGAGUGCACGUGCUCAGUGUAUUUAAAGAGUCAUUUACACUGUAGGAGAGCAUAUACAUCAGCUCCACAGAGAAAUACACUGUAGGAGAGCAUGUACAUCAGCUCCACAGAGAAAUACACUGUAGGAGAG